CGUCUUUUCAUUUAACCUCCUGUAAUCCACGCAGAAGCGAGUUGUGCCAUCUCGCUUGGGUAUGAGUACUACAGGGGAUGCCCAGGGGCUAUCUGAUGAUUCAAUCACCCCUAGGUGGAGCAUCUCCUCAAUCUCCUUACGCAUGCUCUCCCUUACCGCUUCAGGGAUGCGAUACAGGGUUUGGCGCAUGGGAAGCUGCCCUGGGGUCUCUACCCGGUGAGUGGCCAAAGGAGUGUACCCAGGUAUAUUGGAG